rnacentral:ncRNA from 1 species
AUAAAAGUAUCGAUAAGAACUAGUAAGAUAAGACAGUUGUACAGAAAGUAGCCGGUGGUUGAGAGGCGCACAAACUUGGAUUAUCCGAAUUCCUCUUUGAACUUCACACCGAAUGAAGUAGGCUGUGACGGUUAGUGCGCGCCCGUUAUUGUGCCAGGGUAUAUAUUUGUACCUAUUAAGGCAAUGAGUGUGAGCUGAUUGUAAACAAAGGUGGUAACACGAGUCAAUACGUCUCGUCCUUUUC